rnacentral:rRNA from 1 species
AUUGAACGCUGGCGACAUGCUUUACACAUGCAAGUCGAACGGCAGCGCGGGCUUCGGCCUGGCGGCGAGUGGCGAACGGGUGAGUAAUACAUCGGAACGUGCCCAGUAGUGGGGGAUAGCUCGGCGAAAGCCGGAUUAAUACCGCAUACGACCUGAGGGUGAAAGCGGGGGAUCUUCGGACCUCGCGCUAUUGGAGCGGCCGAUGGCAGAUUAGCUAGUUGGUGGGGUAAAGGCCUACCAAGGCGACGAUCUGUAGCUGGUCUGAGAGGACGACCAGCCACACUGGGACUGAGACACGGCCCAGACUCCUACGGGAGGCAGCAGUGGGGAAUUUUGGACAAUGGGCGAAAGCCUGAUCCAGCAAUGCCGCGUGCGUGAUGAAGGCCUUCGGGUUGUAAAGCACUUUUGGCGGGAACGAAAAGGACUGUGCCAAUACCACGGUUCGAUGACGGUACCCGCAGAAUAAGCACCGGCUAACUACGUG